AGCAUUACACAGGCCUUCUACCUAGUUACGGGCCUUGCUGGUAGAGAAGACCACUUCUCUCCCAGGGGUUUCAAAGAAAGUUCUGGAACCAACAUGAGCUACACAUGCACUCCUGAAACAAAAACGGCUUUCUCACCUCCUGGAGUUCACACUGUGUAGUCCUCUCUCCGUGGAUAGGACUGGUCUGUGUAACUAAGAAAAUGUUGCUGAAAUGAGGGAGUGUGACUUCAGAGUCCAGGUCAUAAAGGACAUUGUAGCCUCACCUUGUACAUCUUAGCUCUCUCACUGUAGCCAAAGCCAGCCGCCAUGGCAGCAGAAUACUCCAACAGCCCUGUGGAGAACUGAGGCCUCCCUCCAACAGCCAGUACCAACAUGGCAGCCAUGUGAGUGAACUUCAUGGAAGGGGCUCCUCCAGCCCCAGUCAAGCCUUCAGAUGACAGCAGGCCGGGCUGGUUACCUGACUGCAAUGUCAUGAGAGACCGGGAGCCAGAAUCACCCAGCUUAGCUCCUCCGGAAUCCCUGAGCUACAGAGACCAUGUAGAACCUUUGUUCUUUUAAGUUUGAGGACUGUUUCCUGAGUACCCUUCAGCUGAAGAGGAACUCCUCUUAGAAACUCAGCCUCGACCAUCCUAGUUCAUCUUGAGGCUGUAUGAAUGCCCUUGACUUCCAGAAAAGAAAAGCACAGAGAGGCAGAUGGGCUCGUGCCUUUGAGUCGGGCUUCUUGGGCGCAUCCGAAGAGCUCGUCAAGGUCACGGGGCCCAAGGACUUGCUGUGACAAGGGAACAAAUCAUGUGGCAUGUCCCCCAAUCUGACAGGACCCCCAGCACCCAGGGCCCAAAGUCGCAGGGUGCCGUGUGGAAUCCACACCCCUGACCCUGUUUGUGGGCGUGUCUGUUGGUGAGGCCGGAGCGUAGUACUUGAAAUCAGACCUGGAAUCUGAGCCCGGCUGUGCCAUCACUCACCGUGUGGCCGGGACUGACUCACCUCUCAACCCCGACCUUACCCGACCUUCAGGCUCCUGAUCUGUUAUUGGAAUCCUCUCUGAGAGAUCCUGUGUCCACUUUACAGGUGAAUAAACUCACGUGUAGAAGAGUUCUUGACUCCAGGCCCUCUGAGCUGGCUAUAUUCUCGGACAAACUCUGUCCUUACAGUGCAAAAGGACCAGCAGCUACUCCAGGCUUCUGUCCCACCAAGUGCGUCACCACACUGAGCAGGUCAAAGCGAGACAGGUACUGGGACCUACCUCAUGCCCUUGACACCUUGCUCGAGGAUUCACAGAGACCAUCCAAACCCCCUUCCUGGCCUGGGCUGGCUAAGCUUGCUGGCCCCGGGCUCCCUUGGACCACCUUGCCCAAUGGGGCAAGACAUCGGACUCUGCUUCUCCAGAGUCCCUCCAUCCUGCUGCCUGCUCUGUCUAUACCACCAACACCUUUUCUCUGUGGCCCAGCCACUGUGCUCUGCUCUAAGUCAUGCGCAGUUACCAGAGGGUACCGGCCAGCUGGUGGUCUACAGGGGCCCAUCUGAGGUGGAGGACCCUCCAGCUCACGGGUUAUGUUCAACGGGCACCUCCGUCUACAAUAGCUCCCCAGACCCACCAGCUAGAAACCCUACGGUGCAUGGUGAGUGUUGGUCCACAGAACGGCCACCUAGAAUGGAGCUCCAUCCACAGUGGAGGUAGAGGGUGAACCAGCAGCCUCAGCAAGGGGCCACAGGAGUCAUUAGGAGAUGCUGCGGCCUGCACUCAGGGACAGGGGACAGUCCCGCCUGCAGGCCAACCACAACUUUAAUGAGCUGGGCCCAGCAUCAGGGCCCCCCGUUCCCAAGGCUACAAGAUCUGGAAGACAGCAGCUGACACCACAGCUUCUGGAACUUCAUUGCAUUUGUCUGUCCCCUGUAUCACCCAGAAUUUGAAGACUCCAAGCUAGGCAUGCACCAGAAACUCAACAGAUGUUUGUGGAAGCUAAAACGUUUCUCAUCCGUCUGCCUUGGCCCCAUCUGUAACACUCACCCCUUCCUCCCUCUUGCAAUUUCCUGAGGGAUCACCCCCCACCAUCACGAGGCCAGUGGCUAUAGCAUAGGGAGGCUUGGCUGCUGUGGCUUGGGUAGAAGAAUCUGCUUGGAUUGCUCACCUAAUUUCAGUUUUUCGUCAAUAAUAUGGAAAUAUUAGUAGCCCUCUUUCCAUUGCAAGUAAAAGAAACCCAAGCUCAAACGUUACUUAAGCAGAAGGAAAAAUGUGAGGAUUCAAGUUACUAAAACAUCCAGAGUGAGGACUUCAGGCACAGUCGGA